AGUGAACGCUGGCGGUAGGCCUAACACAUGCAAGUCGAACGGCAGCACAGUAAGAGCUUGCUCUUACGGGUGGCGAGUGGCGGACGGGUGAGGAAUACAUCGGACUCUACUUUUUCGUGGGGGAUAACGUAGGGAAACUUACGCUAAUACCGCAUACGACCUACGGGUGAAAGCAGGGGAUCUUCGGACCUUGCGCGAUUGAAUGCGCCGAUGUCGGAUUAGCUAGUUGGCGGGGUAAAGGCCCACCAAGGCGACGAUCCGUAGCUGGUCUGAGAGGAUGAUCAGCCACACUGGAACGGAGACACGGUCCAGACUCCUACGGUAGGCAGCAGUGGGGAAUAUUGGACAAUGGGCGCAAGCCUGAUCCAGCCAUACCGCGUGGGUGAAGAAGGCCUUCGGGUUGUAAAGCCCUUUUGUUGGGAAAGAAAAGCAGCAGGUUAAUACCCCGCGGUUCUGACGGUACCCAAAGAAGAAGCACCGGCUAACUUCGUG
rnacentral:rRNA from 1 species